UCAACAUAUAAAAGAUGCAUGUCUUUCUGGUUGAUAACAUAUCAAACUCACAUCAAGGGUGACCUUUGAGUCCUUAUCAUGGCACCAUGGUUUGCACAAACCGUCCACUCCACCACCACCAGCACUCAAUCCUUCCAUCAUUACGGAUGUCAACCCUUCGUAACUUUCAUUGCCUCAAUUUCUCACCCCUUUUCACUUUAAUCCAUCUUCAAGCGAUCUGUUCAUCACUUCAUUUGCAUAUAUGCUGAAGCCAUGUGUUGAUUUUUUUCUUCAUCUUUUUUUUUUCUGAAAUUGGGGCUUAACAAAUUACAAGGCUAACCACAUAGUUUAUUGCUAAUUUGAUUUGGAUGCUAAGAAUCAACUAGAGACUACUGAGCUGAACUUUUUUGUUGAAUUUCUGGGCUUAAGGUGUUCAAAAUCAGAUGAUGAUGGCAGAGGAUGACGAAAGCUUUCAAGAACGCAUUUGAUGAAAACAUCGUUGUAUAAAGCUUCCAUUAGCCCGUUAGCCUGAGACGGAAGAUGAAAACGAUGAAUCAUCUUCUGAAAUAACCAAGCACCAACAACCUAAACUACUUUGUGGAGAACGGGGGAGCGUAAGGGUGGUGAGAGAAGGAGGUGAAAUUCGAGAUAUAGGUGUUGAAAUUGGGGAAGCUAGAAUUCAAAAUUGAACGUAGAAAGCAAAUGGCCGAUAUAAGGGGAAGAGAUAGACGACGACUGGUCGUUGUGGUCCGACAUCGUUGCUGUUGAAAAUCAUUUGGAGAAGGAUGAAGAUGAUAAAAAGUAGGGUGGCAAGACCAUGCCAAAUAAAUUAGUUGGGUUGAGUUUUUUAAACCGUCAUCCCAAACAGGUCGUAUAAUAGUUUUUCAAAAAUAAAGGUUGACUUGUGAAUCCGUUUAUAGUUUUAAUAAAAGAAAUUAUUUUAUUUUUAAAUGUAUUUAUGCAUUAAGUAUUAAUAUUUAAUAAAU